rnacentral:rRNA from 1 species
UACGAAGGGGGCUAGCGUUGUUCGGAAUCACUGGGCGUAAAGGGCUCGUAGGCGGCUUUAUAAGUCGGGGGUGAAAGCCUGUGGCUCAACCACAGAAUUGCCUUCGAUACUGUAGAGCUUGAGACCGGAAGAGGUAAGUGGAACUGCGAGUGUAGAGGUGAAAUUCGUAGAUAUUCGCAAGAACACCAGUGGCGAAGGCGGCUUACUGGUCCGGUUCUGACGCUGAGGCGCGAAAGCGUGGGGAGCAAACAGG